CGACCCGCACAACGGCUUCCUGGCGUGCGGGACACAUGAACCAAUGGAGCA
rfam:Celeribacter baekdonensis B30 contig5, whole genome shotgun sequence.